GGUGGAUGGGUAGAUGGAUGGGUAGAUUGGUGGAUGGGUGGAUGGGUAGGUGGAUGGGUAGAUAGAUGGGUUGAUGGAUGGGUAAAUGGGUGGGCAGAUGGGUGAAUAGGUAGGUGGAUGGGUAGAUGGGCUGGCCAGUGAGCUGGCUAUACCUUAGAGCAGUCAUCCUUGCCUUUGCCAGCCUUAUGAGGCCCAGGUGACUGCAUCCCUGCAGGCCCUGCAUGGGCUUAUUUAUUUCAUGCUUUUGAAAAGCACUUUUUCUGUGCCUCCCCCAUUAUUAAGAUAAUACAUAGUUAUUGUUUAACAUUUUAAAAUUACAGAAAAGCCCAAAGACCAAUCAAAAUUCUGUGUCAUAACUCAGCGAUCACCAUUAUUAACAUUUCGGGGUAUACCCUUCUCUGUGCAUUUAUUGACACAUGCGUCUAUUUUUUGUAAAGUUGAGCUCAGACAGGACUCAUACUGCUUUAUAACAAGAUUAGUUCACUUAAUAUUAUACCUUGGACACUUUUUUAAGUUCACCACAUGCUUUUGAAUAAAAUGUAUCCUAAAGU